rnacentral:rRNA from 1 species
AUACGUAGGUGGCAAGCGUUAUCCGGAUUUAUUGGGCGUAAAGCGAGCGCAGGCGGUUUGAUAAGUCUGAUGUGAAAGCCUUUGGCUUAACCAAAGAAGUGCAUCGGAAACUGUCAGACUUGAGUGCAGAAGAGGACAGUGGAACUCCAUGUGUAGCGGUGGAAUGCGUAGAUAUAUGGAAGAACACCAGUGGCGAAGGCGGCUGUCUGGUCUGCAACUGACGCUGAGGCUCGAAAGCAUGGGUAGC